GACACCAUGGCGGAGUGGUCUAACGCGUAAGACUUGAAAUCUUAUGUCCUAUGGACGCGCAGGUUCGAACCCUGCUGGUGUCG